rnacentral:rRNA from 1 species
AGUGGCGAAAGGGUGAGUAAUAGAUAGGUAACGUGCCCCGAACUUCGGGAUAGCGUNCCGAAAGGAACGAUAAUACCGAAUAAUGUUGUCCUCUUUAAGGGGGGCAACCAAAGAUUUAUCGGCUCGGGAGCGGCCUAUUUCCCAUCAGCUAGUUGGUAAGGUAACGGCUUACCAAGGCUACGACGGGUAGCGGGACUGAGAGGUUGACCCGCCACAUCGGGACUGAGACACUGCCCGGACCUCCACGGAGGGCUGCAGUAACGAAUAUUGCGCAAUGGGCGAAAGCCUGACGCAGCGACGCCGCGUGUAGGAUGAAGCUCUUCGGAGUGUAAAACUACUGUCAGGGGUUAGAAAGUCCUCGGAUUGAUCAGCCCCAGAGGAAGUCACGGCUAACUUCGUGCCAGCAGCCGCGGUAAUACGAAGGUGGCUAGCGUUGUUCGGAAUUACUGGGCUUAAAGCGCAACGCAAGGCCGGACAGAAAGUGUUCUGUGAAAAUCCUCGGCUUAACCGAGGAAUUGCUUAGCAAACUACUGUUCUUGAGGGCAGUAGAGGUGCCUGGAACUCUUGGUGGAGCGGUGGAAUGCGUAAGAUAUCAAGGAGGACGCCAAUGGUGAAGACAGUGCACUGGGCUUGUCCCUGACGCUGAGGGUGCGAAAGGCGUGGGGAGCGAACCGGGAUUAGAUACCCCGGUAGGUCCACGCCGGUAAACGGAUGUCUACUAGGUUGUGGCUGUUCUGACACAGGCACAGCCGAAGCAAAAGUGUUAAGUAGACCCGCCUGGGGAGUACGGCUGCAAGGCUAAAACUCAAAGGAAUUGACGGGGGCUCACACAANCGGUGGAGCAUGUGGAUUAAUUCGAAGCAACGCGCAGAACCUUACCUGGGUUUGACAUGCCUGGAUGCUUGCCUGGAAACAGGUUAAGCUGCCCUUCGGGGUGAAACUUGCACAGGUGCUGCAUGGCUGUCGUCAGCUCGUGUCGUGAGAUGUCGGGUUAAGUCCUUUAACGAGCGAAACCCUUGCCGUUAGUUGCCAGCGAGUAAUGUCGGGGACUCUAGCGGGACUGCCGGUGUUAAGCCGGAGGAAGGCGGGGAUGACGUCAAGUCCUCAUGGCCUUUAUGCCCAGGGCUUCACACGUGCUACAAUGGCAACUACAAAGCGAAGCGAGACCGCGAGGUGGAGCAAAUCGCAAAAAAGUUGCCUCAGUUCGGAUUGCAGGCUGUCAACUCGCCUGCAUGAAGUUGGAAUCGCUAGUAAUCGCGUAUCAGCUAUGACGCGGUGAAUAUGUUCCUGAGCCUUGUACACACCGCCCGUCAAGUGAUGGAAGUCGGGAGCACCCGAAGU